AUGGAAACGUCCACUGGGAUUUGAUAUUUAUUACUGGGUAUUUUGUUUUGUUUUUUUUGGUUUUCAAAGGGUACAGCCACAUCCAGACAUCGCAACGACGAUGAAUGGGAACAACAAUCACAGCUAGAUGCCAACGGACAACUAGGAAAAACUCGACGUUUAUCGGGACCAACGGAGAGGUAACCAGACGCUAUUGAAUAACUGGGAGGGAUACAACCAUACGUC
rnacentral:lncRNA from 1 species